GACUGUCCCCGCCGCGCUGCCGCUGCCUGCAAGUGCUGCGCCAUCUGACUCACGCCGGCGCUGCUGCCACCGCGGCAAAGAACAGCUCCUGUGCCACGCUGCCGAUUCCAAGCAGCGCCAUCCUGGCGCGGGACAGAAAUAAAGCGGCUCGGAGAAGCCAGCACGGGGUCGUUCCUUAUUUCCUUUACAAUGAAUCUCAGAGGCUGAGCCCGCGUUUCAGCAGCCAAACUGUGACCCUGCCGGCCGGCGGCAGAGGUCGGGCACGGCCGCUCCUGGGCCUGCCCCGAUCGCCUGCAGGGAUUGGGGCACGCUGGUGCACACCUCAGCUGUCUGCAGGGCGCACGGACGCUGCUGCCAAGUGAAGUUCGUGCUCCGUCAAGCGCUGCCGGUGAAUUCGCACACUUUCUGCUUGCUGCAGCUCCCGGGAAAGUCAACCCCCUCCGUUCCAGACGUGAGAGGAGUUUUCCCCUGGUUCAAGGACUACCUCCGAGAUUUUCGUUUCAAGAAUCUUGGGUUUCGAUUUCCCAUUCCCAAAUCUUGGCCCAGUGGAGGAGAAGGCUACAAGGAAGAGGAAGAUGCCCGGAGACACACAGACAGACCUCCUGAGGAGACAUUCAGCAUCAAGAUCACCUGGGGAAUGCUUCUAUCAGCUCUUCUCUGAACUGGAACAUAAAAAAAUACUUGAUUAAAUAAAAAAACCAUAAUGAGGCAUACUUUGAAAUCUUUCAUCCUUAAAGGAACUCUAGACUGACUCCAAUCAGCUGCACAAGCCAUGGACACAUGAAGAGCACCUAAGAAAGGUCCAUCAAGAGCUUUCUGUGUUUUGACGAUCCCCACGGUGGAUAUGGGGCUGAGUCUGGGACCCUGACACACUGAGUGAAGGCUGAAGAAGCUGCUCAAGGAGUCAGCUGCAAAACUCCAAGUCCCCUGGAGCAUGGCUGGGUCCCAGUGAGGGCAGGGAGUGCCAAAGGCUCCCCAGGGACUGGUGAGAGCAGAUCCUUGAGGCCAGGAGUGCAGGGAGCCCAAGGCUCUGGGCAGGGAACUGCAAUGCUGAGAAAGGCCUGGGCUGGCUGGGGGAAGCAGAAAGGCCAAGCCCUGAGCCCAGCCUGGGCCAGCAGGGCCUGUCCCUCACGGGUGGCUCGGGGCACUCUCGGUGGGGCAGGGGGAUGUGAGGGGCAGCAAGGACAAAUGCCAUAAACCUGUGUGACCUUCCAGAUCCUCAUGGAACCAAGGGGCCAGUAGGACACUGUGGGAAGUUGUGGAACCAAGGUAAUCAUUGUGGCACUGUUGGGGCCCAUGGAAUCAAGGAGCCAGUGUGACACUGAGGGGCCUCAUGGAAACAAGAGGCCAUUGUGAGCCUGCAGGGCCAGAACACUGAAAUGCUGGGGGGAACCAAAGGCUCCUUUCUUUGGGUUUGGUGCACAGGAGAAACACCAGAUAUUCUCAACAUGGCCAGAUGCAAAGAAUAUUCUUGGUAGGAAGGGACCCACAAGGAUCAUCAAAUCCAGCUCUUGAGUGAAUGGCCCACACAGGGAUUGAACCCACAGCCUUGGUGAUACCAGCACCAUGCUCUAACAAACUGAGCUAAGAGGUCAAAAUGGCACAAAUUUUACUGGCAAAAUAUAGACAAACAAGGAACUUUGGCAAAGAGUUUAAUACAACAUCCACUUCAACAUAAAACUCUUACCAUAGCAUUAACUUCACUUAGCCCAUUUACCUAAAAACUCUUAACACUUAAGGUGUUAAGAUACUCAAAAACAUUCCAGGUAAGUAGGAUUAGAUGGAGAAGAAAUAGAGAACAACAGAACGACAGAAAAUCUAUAAGAAGACAGACACAUAGGUACCAACUGAUCAGGUUCCAGCACCAUUGACAGAGGAAACCCAGGAUCCAGAGCAUGGGCUGGCCUUGCACUCCGGCUUUUAACCCCCUGGGCCUUCAUGGGUCCGCCCCUGGGGUGGGACUGCCAGUGGCUUGCCCAAUCAGAGUCAGGGAUGGCACCAGCUUUUAGUGUGUGAUUGAUUGACAGCUGGACCAAUUAGAGCUGGAAUAGCACGGCCCCUGCUGUGUGAUUGACAGCUCUGCCAGGGCAGGGGGCAGGGCUCUGUCCCCCCACAAACCAAGGCCUGACCCGGGCCUGGCCCUACACGGGCAUUCCGAGCAUCCCAAGGUGUCUUGGGACAUUGAUCUCAUCCAGCCUCUGACAGAGACCGCAGGGACACUACAGAACUUCAUGGAACCAAGGGGCCAUGGUGACCUUGUAGAGCCCGCAAUGUCACAGAAGAGCCAUUGUGACACAGCGAGGGCACAGGGAGCCAGGGGCCAUGGUGACACAUCAGGGCUUUGUGGAACCACAAAGACAUUGUGACAUUGCAAGGCCUCAUGGAAGCGCGGGGCCAUUGUGACACUGCAGAAGCAGGGGGAACAUUGUGACACUCCAGGGCCUCAUGGAACCAAGGAGACCAUUGGGACACUGUGGGGUCCCGCGAAACCAAGGGAACAGGGAACAGGUCUGGCUGGCUGGGCCUCCUGGGGACCACCUGAUGGGUCCAGGUGACCUUGGCAUGUUGAGGGCUGCUUCUCAUCUGCCCCUGAAGCACUGGGGCUCUGGGCUUUCCUUCCUAGGGGAGAGAAAUGUCCUUCUCCUCCAGGGCCCAUUGCCAAAAUUGGGAUUCCACCUCCAAAUUUCCUGAUAUGCAAACAUUGUUUCCAGAAGAAAUCUGCCAGGAGAGACAGAUCUGUCAGCCUUGGCCCCCCCAGGGGCCAUCUCUCAUCUGCCUUUGAAACACUGGGACCAUGUGCUUUUCUUUCUUAGCAGAAAAAAACAUCCAUCUUGACCAGGCACUCACAGCCAAAAUUAGGAAUCUACCUCCAGAAUUCCCUAUAUCCAAGGAUAACUCCCAGACAAAAGCUGCCAGGACUGACAAGUCUGGCUGGCCUUGGCUUCCAGAGGGCUGGCAUUCAUGUGCCUCUGAAACACUGGGGCUCUGUGCUUUCCUUCCUAAUGAAAAGAACUCUUCUUCCUGUCCAGGCGCCCACAGCCAAAAUGGAGAUUCCACCUCCAAAAUUCCCUAUGGCCAAGGAUAGCCCCUAGAUGAAAGUUGCCAGGAGACAUGGGUGUGGCUUGGCUUGGCCUGAGGGUGGCCACCUCUCAUCUUCUUCCAAAACACUUGGACUUCACAUCCUCUUUCCUAUAGGAAAAAAAACCAUCCAUCUUGAGCAGGUGCCCAUGGCCAAAACUGGGAUUGCACCUCCAAAACUCCAUACAUCCAAGGAUUUCUCCCCAGUGAAAGCUGCCAGGACAGACAGGUCUGGCUGCCCUUGGCCUCUUGGGGGCUGCCUCUCACCUGCUUUCCAAACACUGGGGCUCUGGGCUUUCCUUCAUAUGGAAAAGAAUUAUAUUUCUUCUCAUGGUGUGUGUGGUCAAAAUAGAGAUUCCUCUUCCCAAAUUCCAUAUAUCCAAGGAUUCCUCCUGACAAAAGCUGCGAGGACAAACAGGUCUGGCUGGCUUGGCCUCCCAAGAGCCACCGCUCUCCUUUUCUGCCUUUGGAACAUUGGGCUCUAUGCUUUCCUUCCUAUGGAAAAGAACUGUCCUUCUUGUUUACACAGAAAUGGCCGAAACUGGGAUUCCACCUCCCAAAUUCCCUAUAUCCAAGAGUUGCUUUUAGGCAAAAGCUUCUAGGACAGAGAGGUCUUGCUGGCCUAGACCUCUGAUGGCCACCUUCCAUCUGCCCCUGAUACACCAAUGUUCCAUGCUUUCCAUCCUGUGGAAAAGAACCGUCAUUGUCAUCCAGGUGCCCAUGUCUGAAAUUAGGAUUCCACCUGGAAAAAGCUGUAUAUCCAAGGGUUGCUCACAGGCAAAAUCUGCCAGUACCAUCAAGUCUGGCUGGCCAUGGCCUCCGGUGACUGCCCCUGCUACACUGGGGCUGGGUUCUUUCCUUCCCAUGGAGAUCACUGGGACACUGUGGGGACCUCAUGAAACCAAGGGGCCAUGGUGACAUAGUGGGGCUUCAUGGAACCCAGAGACCAUUAUGGCUCUGUGGUGCCUGACAGAACCAUGCAGAGCAUCACGACCCUUCAGGGCUCUGUGUUACCAAGGGGGUGACAUUAAGGCACCUCAGGGCCUCAUGUAAGCAAGAGACCAUGUGGACACUGUCAGGCCCCAUGGAACCGAGAGAACAUGGAAUAGGUCUGGCUGGCUUGGCCUCCCAGGGGCCACCUGACAGGUGUGGCUGACCUUGGCAUGUCAAGGGCUUCACAUCUGCCCCUGCAACACUGGGUUUCCGUGCUUUCCUUGCUAUGGAAAAGAACCAUCCCUCCUUUCAGAUGCCCAUUGCCAAAAUUAGUACUCUCCCUAAAAAUUUUCCUAUAGGCAAGGAUAUCUCCCAGAAAAAACCUGCCAUCUCUGGCUGGCCUUGGCCUCUGAUGGUCACCUCUCAUAUGCCCAGGAAACAGAGGGGCUCUGUUCCUUCAUUCCUAUGAAAAAGAACCGGCCUUCAUGUCUAGGAGCUGUGGCCAAAAUUAGAAUUUGGCCUCCCAAAUUCCUUAUGUACAAGGAUUUCUCCCAGACAAAAGUAGCCAGGACAGACAGGUCAGGCUGGCCCUGUCCUCUGGUGAUUUUCUUAGACUAUGAGCUGCAUGUUUUCAUUUGAAAAAACCUUGGAGAGGGCCCAGAGAUCUCCCAAGGAGGGGUUUUGAGGCCUCGGGCACAUGACCACUACAUAUGAACAAAGGAGCUCUGUGUUCUGUGAUGUUGUGGUGCUUUUGCAUCAUGGAAGUGAUGUUCUAAAUGAAGCUGCUAGCAGUUUCCUCUGUCUCUGGAAAAAAAAACCCAAACAAACAGUAAUUAGCUCUGAGAAUUGACAGUCUGUUUAACCACUAAGGAAAGUGUACAUGCCUCUGUGAAGACACAUGUUAAAGAUGAGAAAGCCUGAGAGGGUCUCUUUCCCUUCUGGCCAGCAAAGAGGUAACAAGGCUGGCCCAGCCCCCGUCUCA